UCUUGACAAUUAUUUGACGUAUAACCCCUCAAGAUUGUUAAAUUGUUUUUAGCUGGAGGAGAACUCCAUUGGUAUCCUUAAAAAUUUAAGUCCAGUGUUGCCAACAGACUCAGUAUUUCUGGAUCAGUCUGUAUAUCCAAGUAAACACUGACAAUACACCCAAGUUUCACGCGCAGAAUUUUGAACCCUAACUCCAAAUGAUGCAAAAGUGUUGGUCACAGGUGCCCAAACAACUUUCGGCUGAGUUCGAUUGGUCCAAAUUAUUUAUAAUUGGCUGCUUUCGGAUUGAAAUUUAUUCAAAAGCACAAUUAUGUUUCCGAUAAAUAACUUGUUCAGGAGAUAACCAAUUUUGCCAUGUCGUGAAUUUUUUCCCUUGGUGAUAUGUGUUUGGAAAGGAAGAGCAGUCGCACGCGCUACCUCGGUUGGUUUCAGUCAAAUCACAGGGUAUUCCCCUCGAUAAUGGUCCCUGAUUAUGGAAUUUUUUGUCCCGAUUUGACGUGCAACUGGAUUCGUUUUUGUCCAGUUGAUGAUGAGAGUGAUACAGUGUGUUUAUCGUAACGGUUGACUUGGGUACGUCAGUUAAACACACUGAUUUUCUGGAAUGCCGACAACAGUUUCCCGGUAGCUGUCAUUUCGCGAAAUUCGACGAUUUUUUCCGAAAUCAAAAGUUCCCAGCAAUUAAACCGGCGGACAAACACCGUAAUUUAACGACUCCUUAAUUUAGCCACUCGAACAAAGUGUUUGUACACGGUGUGGCAAUGUCAAUAAAAUUAAUUGCCAACCUCCAAUUCUACCCGAAUAAAUAUCGACUUAAACGAUUGGCCGGGGCACUUUGACCGUUAAUUAAGAAGCGGCACACACCAUUCCGGACAAAUAUGGUGUCUUAAUGGAUUUUCAACGGACCUAUCAUGCCAUAUUGACGUCUCUCGGAUGCCUCGCAUGAAUUUUAUGACGGAUGACGAUGGAAGUUUAAUUCGGACGGAAAAAUACAUAUCAUGGGCCGAUGGACGGACGGAUGAUGCCUGAUGGAUGCGAGGAUUCAUUUACGACUACAAUGCUUUGGUGCCUUUCCAUCGCAGCCAAGCCACACAAUAAACGUGUUCGAUGGAUAAACCGAUUCCAAAUAUUGCCAACAUUGAUUAAUGGCCCCCACUACGGCUAAAGGGAAAUUAUUUUACUGUUUUUAGCGACUUUUGUAAUCCAAUUUUAAAUCGAAAAAUGAAAUUGAGUCUUUUAAAUAAUUAGAAUUUAAGACAACGUAACACUUUGUUGAAAAAAAAAUUUGAUAUUUUUUUAUUAAAAUUGUAAACCAAUAUUCAUAAUAUUUUAAAAACGUGUACGGGAAAGAUGCACUGUGAUGAUACGAAGAGAAUGCGUCCAAGAAACGAAAAAAAAAUUUAGUAGUAACCAAACCCGAAUAUUCAUUUUACUUUGUCUUUGAAUGCCGAGAAUCUCCAACAAUCAAGAGCGGGGUAACAGGAAGAGGGGGCAAAAUAAACCUCGAUAUAUAUAUAUAUAUAUAUUCGU